rnacentral:lncRNA from 1 species
AUUGAACAUGAAAUUGCAACCCUAAAGAUAGACUUCCACACCAAAUUCUAUCAUUUAUGAAGUAUAUGUGUCUCCGUUUUCAGAGCUGCCCAGUGACUUCAAUAGUGGCCAUCGCAGGAAUAGAAGACCAGAGUUUUCCCGGAGUGCAAAGUCCAACCCAGAAAGCAGCAGGAGCAAGGGGUUAGUUCCAGGAGCCCUCCCUGGGAUUUGGCUGACUGAGGGAGUCCAUACCAGAAGGAAGCUUUGUUUGUGUCAGCAUCUGUCUCAACAGGUUGGGUCAUCCUGCAGCCUCAGUGGUCACAGCAAGCCCCUUCUGCGUUCUUCCCAUCCACCCCACCUCCAUAGCACCCACCCUUCCAGCUCUUCUACAAGAAGGGAAUGGGAGGGAAAUGCCCUGGCUGGACCACUGUCCUAUUCCAGGAUUUGGUUCAUGCUGCCCGCCUGGGUCAGAAUCAUGUGGCACCAUGGGGCUAGGACCAGGCAUGCAGGAAGCCUUUCUGUUAUUCUUUGUUUAGGUCAAGCAAAGGAACACUCGUGGGUAAUUCGCAAAGUGUCUGUACUCCGAGGUAUUGCCAAUCUCAUUAUCAUUAAUUUUUGCAUAUUUAACUACAGUUUUUAAUUAGAUGGUAUUUUAUUAUUCAUGCACAUAAUUUGAGUUGGAGUCUGCUGCUCUCUUGAAGGAAAAGGGGGGUGGAAGGCAGAUAUUCCUGAAUUGGAAGUCAGGGUUGAUGCUUCUGUUUGGCUGGAGAGCAGAGCGGCCCCUAAGUCCAUAAUGGUUCUCUUUUAAUUUUGCUAAUAGCUAUCAUGUUAUGUACCUUUAUAAAUUUGUUAGAGCCAGAGAGCUGGGAGUAGUCUCUGUAUGCGGUGACUGUAAACAGCCCUCUCUGUUUGGUCUGUGCAUACAAACUGUUUGCUCAAGCUCCUUGAUGUAUUAUUAAAAUGGGUAAUGGGCCCCUGGGAACGCAUCUAGUUAUAGGCCUUCAUUUGCAGAAUAAACCAUGCGUUGUUUUCA